GAUGAACGCUGGCGGCGUGCCUAAUACAUGCAAGUCGAGCGAACGGACGAGAAGCUUGCUUCUCUGAUGUUAGCGGCGGACGGGUGAGUAACACGUGGAUAACCUACCUAUAAGACUGGGAUAACUUCGGGAAACCGGAGCUAAUACCGGAUAAUAUUUUGAACCGCAUGGUUCAAAAGUGAAAGACGGUCUUGCUGUCACUUAUAGAUGGAUCCGCGCUGCAUUAGCUAGUUGGUAAGGUAACGGCUUACCAAGGCAACGAUGCAUAGCCGACCUGAGAGGGUGAUCGGCCACACUGGAACUGAGACACGGUCCAGACUCCUACGGGAGGCAGCAGUAGGGAAUCUUCCGCAAUGGGCGAAAGCCUGACGGAGCAACGCCGCGUGAGUGAUGAAGGGCUUCGGAUCGUAAAACUCUGUUAUGAGGGAAGAACAUAUGUGUAAGUAACUGUGCACAUCUUGACGGUACCUAAUCAGAAAGCCACGGCUAACUACGU
rnacentral:rRNA from 1 species